GGAGUUGUGGCUCAGUGCCAGAGCAUCUGCUCUGCAUGCAAAAGACCCAGGUACAACCCGUGGCAUUUCCA
rnacentral:tRNA from 1 species